rnacentral:hammerhead_ribozyme from 1 species
AUUCAACUGGUGAGUCCCAAGUAAGACGAAAUACGCGUCCUGAAU